AAAAAGUUUAUGUUCGGUUUUUAGAAACAAUGUUUGACUCUUCGUCUUAUUUUAAAAAAAUUAUGAUUAAUAUUUUUAUUGUUAUUAGAUUAUAAAAAUGAAUAGUACUCUAUGUGUGAUUUAUUUUUUUAUUUUUUUUAUAAUUUUUUGAAAUAAGAAGGAUGAUCAAACGUUGGGCAUAGAAACCCAAAAAUAAACUUCUU
rnacentral:pre_miRNA from 1 species